UGCUGGAGAUGGGAACAGUCCUUCGGCGGCACUCGAUGACGUAGCAUCCUUGAAAUAUUGGCUUGGAAGACAGAAUCCUCAAGAUUGAGAAAUGGCCUCUAUUACACAGGUUUCAAA